CUCUCGCGAGAUAGGACGGCCCGCCGCCUAUCUACUCUCGACCAUAGAGUUCGGCAGCGCCGCGGCGAGAGCGUCGCCACGUUCGUGCGCGUUUGAGUGGUGGAGCGUCACGUGGCCUGCGGGAAGUCAUGGCUCCACGCGACACGCGUAGGCUGACCCCCCCCCCCCCCCCAAGUGCGGCAGCUGCAACAGCUACGCAAUCUCCGCAGCCGGCCCCUGCUGGUCUCUCUCUAGACUACGGAAAUGACGUAGGCCCGCCCCUCUUCUCUGCUCGCUGCCUGGCGCUGAUUGGCUCGGCCCUCCCCUCGCUCUCUCCGCCUGCCGACGGUCGGCUCGCGCCGUGUGAGCGCGGGAACGUGAGAGGGCGCGCGGGAGGGACGGGAGAGCGGCGGGACAGCCCGGGCCGGCAGCCCGCAGAGUUACGUGUGCUGCGGCCGGCGGGUGUACCGAGCGGACGUUGAGCAGUUUGCACCGAGAUAGUCUCAGUAGCGCUUGGGAUCGCGGAGUCAGUCAGUAUCCGGGGAACAGACAGCACCACCGCGCGGGAGAGUCGAGCAUCCCUGAGAACUCAGUGCCAUUUCUGAAGCUUGGCCUCUGCGGGAUCUUCGGCUUUAUUCAAAUUGCUUUCUGCUAAGACCCAAAAAUUCCAGAGCGUUGCCGGCCUUGAGCUUAUCCUGUAAAAACAAAACACUGUGUAUGUUUGUGUGCGCUCGCUCGGACGGGUGGGCAGAUGUCUGUGUCCCAAGGCUUUUAGCCGUGCUCUACAGCACCCUCGUGAGCUGUGGUAGGAGAACAGUGCCUCUUUCAGCCCUUGCACAAAUCGUGCUUUUUUUUUUUUUUUUUUCUUUCUUCAGGUCUAAAA